rnacentral:tRNA from 1 species
GUGGCUAUAGCUCAAAGGUAGAGCGCUUGAUUGUGGCUCAAGAGGUUGUGGGUUCGAGCCCCACUAGCCACC